UAGGGAAUCUUCCACAAUGGACGCAAGUCUGAUGGAGCAACGCCGCGUGAGUGAAGAAGGCUUUCGGGUCGUAAAACUCUGUUAUUGAAGAAGAACGUGUGUGACAGUAACUGGUCAUGCAGUGACGGUAUUCAAUCAGAAAGUCACGGCUAACUACGUGCCAGCAGCCGCGGUAAUACGUAGGUGGCAAGCGUUGUCCGGAUUUAUUGGGCGUAAAGCGAGUGCAGGCGGUCUUUUAAGUCUGAUGUGAAAGCCUUCGGCUUAACCGAAGAAGGGCAUCGGAAACUGGGAGACUUGAGUGCAGAAGAGGAGAGUGGAACUCCAUGUGUAGCGGUGAAAUGCGUAGAUAUAUGGAAGAACACCAGUGGCGAAGGCGGCUCUCUGGUCUGUAACUGACGCUGAGGCUCGAAAGCGUGGGUAGCAAACAGGAUUAGAUACCCUGGUAGUCCACGCCGU
rnacentral:rRNA from 1 species